GGUCCGCGAGCCCGGCCGCCAGCGGCGGACCUGCCUUCGCGCCGCUUCACCCCCCUCCCCCGCCCCUCGGCUGCGUCCCGCGCUGGGGGUGGGGGUGGCGGGACGCCCCGCGAGCGGAGCGGGGCGCCGAGCCCGGGGGAGGGGGAAGAUGGUGGCGGCCGUUGACGGUAUCAGGGCAGGCAACACUGAAAGGCUUUGGCUGUUGAUUGAUCCAUGCAAGUUCUGCUGCAACAUUUUUAGUUAAAAGGGCAGGUGCAAAUUAGACAACUUCUCUUGGGGAGCUACUGAACAUCUGGUCAUGUCAGGGUAAUGUCAAAGUGCUUACAGUGCAGGUAGUGAUAUAAGAACCUACUGCAGUGAAGGCACUUGUAGCAUUAUAUUGACAAGUGCCACGGGAGAUCUUGCAGAACUGCAGUAAUUUGCAAGGUACCAUGUGGUAUUAAGUGCUUUUUGUUCUAAGGUGCAUCUAGUGCAGAUAGUGAAGUAGAUUAGCAUCUACUGCCCUAAGUGCUCCUUCUGGCAUAAGAAGUUAUAUCUUCAUCCAGUCAAUCAGGCUGAUUAAGAAUGUAGAUGUUCCAGUAGCUGUCUGCUCUGCAGUCCUCUGUUAGUUUUGCAUAGUUGCACUACAAGAAGAAUGUAGUUGUGCAAAUCUAUGCAAAACUGAUGGUGGCCUGUUACUGUCUACAUCAAGAAAGCGAAUUUUAUUUACUGCUUAUGUAUUUUGGUGGUCUUGCUUUCAUAGCAGUUCCUUCGGUUUAGUAAAUAUGACAGCUUCUGUAGUACUAAAGUGCUUAUAGUGCAGGUAGUGUUCAGUAAUCUACUGCAUUAUGAGCACUUAAAGUACUGCUAGCUGUAGAACUACAACUUCAGCAUGCCUUCCUAUCAGACUAACUUUUUUGUUUUGUUGAACACUGUUCUCUGGUUAGUUUUGCAGGUUUGCAUCCAGCUGUAUGAUACUCUGCUGUGCAAAUCCAUGCAAAACUGACUGUGGCAGUGACAAGUCAGUGAAUAAGUGAGGAAAGUUGUACCCCUUUCUACACAGGUUGGGAUCAGUUGCAAUGCUGUGUGUGUCUGUAGUAUUGCACUUGUCCCGGCCUGUUGAGGUUGGUGGGGACAGAGGCUGCAACAUCUUCAGUAGUUUGAUUAUUUUAGGAAGUGAUACUGCAUUUUUCCAGAAAAUCCAAAUACCUAAUAACUUAUUUUCUGAACUGUUCCAUGUAAACUAAUGUAUGGCUGGACAUCAUAUGCCACAGACAUUUCUGUAUUUGUAAAUUCUUUGUGUAUGUUUACUAAAUUAAUGUUCAAUAACAGAGUCUCAUUUUUCUUUUGUGGGUUCCUCCUGUUGUAUUGAGUAUUUGCUUACAGUUAAUCCUCAGUAGCCAUGCUAAAGGGAAAUGGGUCAAAAAGCUUUUAGUUGUCAAAGAUCUUUCAUGCAAACUUUACUUAGCCUAGCCUGAGUCUGUAGCUGACACUAAAAUUGCAUAAAGAAGUCUGCAUUUUGUCUUACGACAGGUUUUUAGUUCACUUCUAAAAUUAUUUUUAAGUCCUUAAAAACCUCUUUUCUAAAUUGGCAAUAGAAUGAAUAUGUAAUUCUAACUUAAAAUUCCAUGCAAAAAUCUGUCAAAGGUUCCAGAAUGACAAGUUUAAAUCUGAAAGGCUAAAUCUGUCCUUCAGUCAUACUCUGGAAUUUUUUGUUUGAUCAUACAACAAAUGUCAUGUAUUAUACACCUUUCUAUAACCUUGCAUUUGUGUGUCGUAUCCCAGUUCUGUGAUUGUGUUUCGGUCACAUAAAUACUAAGUAAACCAUUAAUACAGUACCUUUCAUAUGUAAAAGAAUAACAAAAGUGCAGCAUACCUAGGCCAUCUAAAAUACCAUUAUAAUUAAAUGCUUUAUCCUUUUGAAUUCUAUCUAAGGAAGAUGAUUGGGUGAAAAAGUAUAUGGUAACUUGCUAAUUGAAAUAGACAUAUUAUCUCUAAGGUAGGUAAGUCUCUCAAUAGAUUGACCCAUUGCAUGUUUCCCUAAACUUCACACAGUCCUGGUUGUGCAGUCCAUCCUACCAUUGCUCCAAGUUUGUUACUAAUGUUUUUUUUUAAAGAAACAGCUUUAAAACAGUAUUAUCAAAGGCUUAAAGCUACAAGAAUAAAGCCAAUUUGUGUUCCAGUGUAAA